GCUGUCGGCGUGCCUAAUACAUGCAAGUAGAACGCUGAAGAGAGGAGCUUGCUCUUCUUGGAUGAGUUGCGAACGGGUGAGUAACGCGUAGGUAACCUGCCUUGUAGCGGGGGAUAACUAUUGGAAACGAUAGCUAAUACCGCAUAACAAUGGAUGACACAUGUCAUUUAUUUGAAAGGGGCAAAUGCUCCACUACAAGAUGGACCUGCGUUGUAUUAGCUAGUAGGUGAGGUAACGGCUCACCUAGGCGACGAUACAUAGCCGACCUGAGAGGGUGAUCGGCCACACUGGGACUGAGACACGGCCCAGACUCCUACGGGAGGCAGCAGUAGGGAAUCUUCGGCAAUGGGGGCAACCCUGACCGAGCAACGCCGCGUGAGUGAAGAAGGUUUUCGGAUCGUAAAGCUCUGUUGUAAGUCAAGAACGAGUGUGAGAGUGGAAAGUUCACACUGUGACGGUAGCUUACCAGAAAGGGACGGCUAACUACGUGCCAGCAGCCGCGGUAAUACGUAGGUCCCGAGCGUUGUCCGGAUUUAUUGGGCGUAAAGCGAGCGCAGGCGGUUUGAUAAGUCUGAAGUUAAAGGCUGUGGCUCAACCAUAGUUCGCUUUGGAAACUGUCAAACUUGAGUGCAGAAGGGGAGAGUGGAAUUCCAUGUGUAGCGGUGAAAUGCGUAGAUAUAUGGAGGAACACCGGUGGCGAAAGCGGCUCUCUGGUCUGUAACUGACGCUGAGGCUCGAAAGCGUGGGGAGCGAACAGGAUUAGAUACCCUGGUAGUCCACGCCGUAAACGAUGAGUGCUAGGUGUUGGAUCCUUUCCGGGAUUCAGUGCCGCAGCUAACGCAUUAAGCACUCCGCCUGGGGAGUACGACCGCAAGGUUGAAACUCAAAGGAAUUGACGGGGGCCGGCACAAGCGGUGGAGCAUGUGGUUUAAUUCGAAGCAACGCGAAGAACCUUACCAGGUCUUGACAUCCCGAUGCUAUUUCUAGAGAUAGAAAGUUACUUCGGUACAUCGGUGACAGGUGGUGCGUGGUUGUCGUCAGCUCGUGUCGUGAGAUGUUGGGUUAAGUCCCGCAACGAGCGCAACCCCUAUUGUUAGUUGCCAUCAUUCAGUUGGGCACUCUAGCGAGACUGCCGGUAAUAAACCGGAGGAAGGUGGGGAUGACGUCAAAUCAUCAUGCCCCUUAUGACCUGGGCUACACACGUGCUACAAUGGUUGGUACAACGAGUUGCGAGUCGGUGACGGCAAGCUAAUCUCUUAAAGCCAAUCUCAGUUCGGAUUGUAGGCUGCAACUCGCCUACAUGAAGUCGGAAUCGCUAGUAAUCGCGGAUCAGCACGCCGCGGUGAAUACGUUCCCGGGCCUUGUACACACCGCCCGUCACACCACGAGAGUUUGUAACACCCGAAGUCGGUGAGGUAACCUUUUGGAGCCAGCCGCCUAAGGUGGGAUAGAUGAUUGGGGUGAAG
rnacentral:rRNA from 1 species